UUCCUACGGGGGGCUGCAGUGGGGAAUCUUGCGCAAUGGGCGAAAGCCUGACGCAGCCAUGCCGCGUGGAUGAUGAAGGUCUUAGGAUUGUAAAAUCCUUUCAGCGGGGACGAUAAUGACGGUACCCGCAGAAGAAGCCCCGGCUAACUUCGUGCCAGCAGCCGCGGUAAUACGAAGGGGGCUAGCGUUGCUCGGAUUUACUGGGCGUAAAGGGCGCGUAGGCGGACAGUUAAGUCGGGGGUGAAAGCCCGGGGCUCAACCCCGGAAGUGCCUUCGAUACUGGCGGUCUUGAGUACGGGAGAGGUGUGUGGAACUCCGAGUGUAGAGGUGAAAUUCGUAGAUAUUCGGAAGAACACCAGUGGCGAAGGCGACACACUGGCCCGUUACUGACGCUGAGGCGCGAAAGCGUGGGGAGCAAACAGGAUUAGAUACCCUGGUAGUCA
rnacentral:rRNA from 1 species